rnacentral:rRNA from 1 species
AUACGGAGGGUGCAAGCGUUAAUCGGAAUUACUGGGCGUAAAGAGUACGUAGGCGGCCUAUUAAGUCAGAUGUGAAAGCCCAGGGCUCAACCUUGGAACUGCAUUUGAAACUGGUAGGCUAGAGUAUGGUAGAGGGGGGUAGAAUUUCUGGUGUAGCGGUGAAAUGCGUAGAUAUCAGAAGGAAUACCAGUGGCGAAGGCGGCCCCCUGGCCCAAUACUGACGCUGAGGUACGAAAGCGUGGGGAGCGAACGGGAUUAGAAACCCCGGUAGUCC